GACGAACCGUGCGAACGUUAUUCGGAAUCACUGGGCUUAAAGCGCGUGUAGGCGGGACGGCACGUCGGUCGCUGAAAGCCCCCGGCUCAACCGGGGAAGGGGCGCCGAUACGACCACCCUGGAGGGACGUAGGGGGACCUGGAACUUCCGGUGGAGCGGUGAAAUGCGUUGAGAUCGGAAGGAACGCCCGUGGCGAAAGCGAGGUCCUGGACGUUUACUGACGCUGAGACGCGAAAGCCAGGGGAGCGAACGGG
rnacentral:rRNA from 1 species